rnacentral:rRNA from 1 species
GACGAACGCUGGCGGCGUGCUUAACACAUGCAAGUCGAACGGAAAGGCCCUGCUUUUGUGGGGUGCUCGAGUGGCGAACGGGUGAGUAACACGUGAGUAACCUGCCCUUGACUUUGGGAUAACCUCAGGAAACUGGGGCUAAUACCGGAUAGGAGCUCCUGCUGCAUGGUUGGGGUUGGAAAGUUUCGGCGGUUGGGGAUGGACUCGCGGCUUAUCAGCUUGUUGGUGGGGUAGUGGCUUACCAAGGCUUUGACGGGUAGCCGGCCUGAGAGGGUGACCGGCCACAUUGGGACUGAGAUACGGCCCAGACUCCUACGGGAGGCAGCAGUGGGGAAUAUUGCACAAUGGGCGGAAGCCUGAUGCAGCAACGCCGCGUGCGGGAUGACAGCCUUCGGGUUGUAAACCGCUUUCGCCUGUGACGAAGCGUGAGUGACGGUAAUGGGUAAAGAAGCACCGGCUAACUACGUG